rnacentral:rRNA from 1 species
AUACGGAGGAUCCGAGCGUUAUCCGGAUUUAUUGGGUUUAAAGGGAGCGUAGGUGGACAGUUAAGUCAGUUGUGAAAGUUUGCGGCUCAACCGUAAAAUUGCAGUUGAUACUGGCUGUCUUGAGUACAGUAGAGGUGGGCGGAAUUCGUGGUGUAGCGGUGAAAUGCUUAGAUAUCACGAAGAACUCCGAUUGCGAAGGCAGCUCACUGGACUGCAACUGACACUGAUGCUCGAAAGUGUGGGUAUCAAACAGGAUUAGAUACCCUGGUAGUCCACACAGUAAACGAUGAAUACUCGCUGUUUGCGAUAUACAGUAAGCGGCCAAGCGAAAGCAUUAAGUAUUCCACCUGGGGAGUACGCCGGCAACGGUGAAACUUAAAGGAAUUGGCGGGG